GAUGCACACAAAACCCAAAGAUCAUAAUUAACACCAAUAAUAUGAUCUUGUCUGUUGUGCAAAAAACACUCAGCACCUUGUCGCCUUUCAGAUGGCUGCUGUGCCUCUGGAAGUGAAAUCAAGGUUCGACAAGC